rnacentral:rRNA from 1 species
ACAUGCUUACAACAUAAUGUUAAUGCACCAGAUCCCAUUAGAACUCUGUAGUUAAGCAUGCUCAUGCUAGAGUAGUACUGGGAUGGGUGACCACUUGAGAAGUCUUAGUAUUUUACAUGCC